UAGCAGGACUGGGAAGUGCAGAUGAGUGUCUCAAACUCACCGUUUUAAGAUCCCUUUCUCACAUUCUCCUCAGUAUACCAUUGUUCUACCUCUCUCUCUCUCUCUCUCUCUCUCUCUCUCUCUCUCUCUCUCUAGUUUAAGCUUCUUGUGAGGAGAGUAGAGCUCUAGCUCCUACAGUCUUAGCUAUGGCAUAUAUGAAAACUGAAGGUGUGUGUUGAGCAAGAUGGAGAAGCAGGGCACGUGCAUUUCUAACUCAUGCGCAUAUACAGAGAUAUAUUAUUACUUUCAAUAGUUCACCUGCCUAUCAAUCAAGUCUCUGAAAGCUUUUCUUUCUAUAUCUCAUAUCCAGUGAUGAGUUAGUUAUUCAUGUGCCCCUCUUCCCCAUCAUGACCACUACACCUUAUUUGUUACCUCUGGAAAAAUAUACCAAGAAGAUUGCUUAUAGAUCAGAACCAUGCAGAUAAAUUGAAUUUUGUUCAGAUCAAAAUGCUGGGAGUUUGCUCCAGCUCAGAAAACAAAGAGAUGCUUCUGCAGAUGCUGCAUGGUUUUGUGAGAAGAGUUAUGGGUGAAUGCUAAGGUCAUUUACAUUGAAUUGGCAACUUGGUACGACCACCACCAAGGAGACAUAAAAAAUCUCUCUUUUCCCUCCUUGCUGACACUUCCUUCUCAUCCACGUCUGAAGGACAACGAUAAGCAACUCAUGUACAUCCACAGAUCUUUAAUCUGUUUCUUAUCCGAUUAAUUAUCCAAUUGCGUAAUUGACUUCUCUUUAAUCUUCCACCAUAAUCAAGAGCCUACUGUUCGGACAGGGCAGAUGUAAACUUUUAACUUGCAAAAGCAACUUAAUUUAUGGAAGAUACUUUUGUAAUUUUUUA